AAGUCGUAACAAGGUUUCCGUAGGUGAACCUGCGGAAGGAUCAUUACAAUACGUAUCCACGUAUAAACCAAAGUUGCACUGUAAUUAGCGUCCGUUAGGUUUCUAAAAUUGUGGUAGUUGUUAAUGAGGUGUGUAAAAACCACUCUUUCCAACUUACUCUUUUUUUAAAACCUAGUACGCGUACUUUUCUACCAAUUCUUUAACCCAUUUCAUCCAAUUUCAAUCUGAACUUAAUCUGAUCUUGUUUUCCGAAAGGAAAAACGUUUGAUCAACAAUUACGAAACUUAAAAACAACUCUUA
rnacentral:misc_RNA from 1 species